GAUGAACGCUGGCGGCGUGCUUAACACAUGCAAGUCGAACGGUGAAGGCGGCGCUUGCUCUUCUGGAUCAGUGGCGCACGGGUGAGUAACACGUGAGCCAUCUGCCCCUGCCUCCGGGAUAAGCGCUGGAAACGGCGUCUACUACUUGAUACGCGCUGCGGAGGCAUCUUCAGCAGCUGGAAAGAACUUCGGGCAGGGAUGAGCUCGCGGCCUAUCAGCUUGUUGGUGAGGUACCGGCUCACCAAGGCGCCUACGGGUAGCCGGCCGGCGAGGGUGCCCGGCGACACGGGGAAUGAGACUAGGCCAAGCAGCAUACGGGAGGAAGCAGCGGGGAAUAUUGGACAGUGGGCGAGAGCCUGAGGCAGCAACGCCGGGUGAGGGACGACGGCCUUCUGGCGGUAGAGAUGUUGUAGCAGGGAAGGAGCGAAAGUGACGGUACCUGCAGAAAAAGCGCCGGCUAACUACGUG
rnacentral:rRNA from 1 species